CGCUGGCGGCGUGCCUAACACAUGCAAGUCGAGCGGAGACAUGCGACGGAUCAGAAGUUUUCGGAUGGAUGUGAAGAUGUAUGUUUAGCGGCGGACGGGUGAGUAACGCGUGAGCAACCUGUCCUUCACAGGGGGAUAACACAGCGAAAGUUGUACUAAUACCGCAUAAGACCACGGCGGGACAUCCCGCAGGGGUCAAAGGAGCAAUCCGGUGAAGGGUGGGCUCGCGUCCGAUUAGAUAGUUGGUGGGGUAACGGCCUACCAAGUCGACGAUCGGUAGCCGACCUGAGAGGGUGAUCGGCCACAUUGGGACUGAGACACGGCCCAACUCCUACGGGAGGCAGCAGUGGGGAAUAUUGGGCAAUGGGGGGAAACCCUGACCCAGCAACGCCGCGUGAGGGAAGAAGGUUUUCGGAUCGUAAACCUCUGUCCUUGGUGAAGAGGAAGAGACGGUAGCCAAGGAGGAAGCCCCGGCUAACUACGUGCCAGCAGCCGC
rnacentral:rRNA from 1 species